GUGUCAAAGAUGAAACAUUAGUUCUAUUUUUAAAAUCUGUGAUUAAAAACACCUAACUCUUUUAAAAUAUGUGAUGCAGUCUUACAAUAUAAAUAUUCAUACUAGUUCUCAAAUUUCUCACAUAUAUUAGUACUGUAUUAUCUUAAAAACCUAAGCUAUUAGUUAAAAAAAAAACUUAGCUAUUUAUUAAAAUCUUUCCUUUUAGUGGUUAAAUUGAAAUUCUCAAGAGUUCUUGGCCGAAUCUCAUACGUCUCUUUCCAAGCAAGAUAAUUUCGAACGCAUCUUUCCUUGAAGCAAAGGAUCGCCACAAUACCACCUACAUCAUUGUUGUUGGUGUAAGUAAAUCUAUAUGAGAACAUAUAAAUCAUCAUUACCUUUUUGUUUUCAAGUUGGUCUUGUAUUGAGAUUCAAUCUACAGUUUUGUUUCCGA
rnacentral:lncRNA from 1 species